UACAGAGGGUGCAAGCGUUGUCCGGAAUUACUGGGCGUAAAGAGCUCGUAGGUGGUUUGUCGCGUUGUUCGUGAAAACUCACAGCUCAACUGUGGGCGUGCGGGCGAUACGGGCAGACUUGAGUACUGCAGGGGAGACUGGAAUUCCUGGUGUAGCGGUGGAAUGCGCAGAUAUCAGGAGGAACACCGGUGGCGAAGGCGGGUCUCUGGGCAGUAACUGACGCUGAGGAGCGAAAGCGUGGGGAGCGAACAGG
rnacentral:rRNA from 1 species